AAUUCCAGUGAAUAAGCAAGUGGCCUGUUGACAACCUGGGAUAGAGAGCGGCACGCUUCCUGUACCUCCCAUAGUGUUAGGCAGGGAGCAGGCCUGAGACUGGGGCUGGCCGUUUUCUGUGGGGCCUUUCUGUAGAGUGGCCUGUGCUGUGCCUGUCACCAGUAACGGCAGGCGCAUGCAGCAGGCAGGCUGUGUGCGUGGUCGGGCUGGGUGGGCCACUGGAAGGCAUUCUGGGAGCAGCAGCAGCUGGGUAAGGGGAGGGCAUCAAGGCUCUCGAGUCAGAGCCUUAGCAGCCAGGAGAGGCCUGUAGCACUAGUUGCUCUGACAGCUUCUAGAAGGUUCCUACAGUCUCAUGAUAAUGAUGGUGAUGAUGAUAACAGCUACAUGAACAGCAUGCCAGGCACUGAGUGAAAUGCUGUACAGUUUUAUCCCAUUUAAUCCCCAUGGCAACCCUGACAGAUGGGCACCACUGUUACCCCCAGUUUACAGAUGAGGAAGAUGAGGUUCAGAGAAGCAAAGUAACUUGCUCUGAGUCACAUGGUAAGUGGCAGAGCUAGAGGUCAAAGCAGGUCUGACUUACUCCAAAAUCUGCACUGUUAAACACAAAUACUACAAGUUCAAUGUCCAAAGCCUACCCCUUAUGCUUAUGCCUGCCUGCGUCCUCCCUCAACAGCGUCUCCCACUGGGGACGGUAAGCACAGCGACAGGCCCCAGGUUCAUCCAGCUACCGGCGCGUGGGGGCACCCAAGGAAGGGAGCGGCAGGAUUUCCUUCAGAGAGACUUCCGGACUUAGACGGCCGAUUCAAGGCAUGUGUGUCAAUUCACUCCUUCCCAGAGCCCUGUAAGUACAGCAAGGGUCUGGUGUCGCGUUUAAAGGACAAUCCCACAAGGAGAAGGAGAGCAGGAAGGCAAACAGCCACAUCACAAUUUCCUCAGCUAAGGAGUAGCUAUCCUGGGGAAUGAACGGGCUGCACAGCCCCAAGGAAGGUGAAUCACAACACGGCACAAAGGAAAGCAGAAAAGCAGCUUCGUCCGGAUGGCAGAAUCUUCAUCAGGCUCAGAACAGGCGCCCCAGUUGUCUCUGGAACUGGGAGGUAAAGUGGAUGGGGAUGGCCAUGUAAGGGGGUAGACUCCCGGGUCCCCUCCCCGGCUCCAUGUCCUUGGUUUUCUGCCUCUCCCUGACCCUGGCGGAGAUCUGGCUAGACCACUGCUGCUCAGUUCCCUGCUCUGCCUUUCGUACCCUGCUGCCCACAUCAGCUGGCACGCUCACUUCACACCACGGAAGUGUCCUGCGUUGACCUACACCUGGAAGCUGGGGGACCUGGAGGCAGGCUGUGGUGUGCCUGAAAGCCAGCACCAAGGAUGGCCCAAUCCCAUGUCCACGACUGCCAAGCAUCCUGAGUGGUGGGCUCUUCACAUCCCCCACUCCAUCAUGCCUUAGACUAUGACCUCCCAAAGAGGGGAACUGGGGACAGACACGACCGGGGAUUACUCAGCCUCUCUCCUUCCGGCAGCCUUCAUCAAAUGUGACUGCUGCCUGCAUGCCUAGGCUGUGCUCAACACUCAGUUCUUCCAAAUGAAGCGACUGCUUGUUUAAGAGUUCAUUAAUAAGUGGUGAAACUACAUAGAAAAGCGAGAGAAUCAUUAUGUCAGAAUCAACAUAGCGGGCACGUCUCAGGGGAGGGAGAGGAUGUGACCAGGGGUCUACUCAGGGGAUGGCAACGUUCUAUUUCUCAACCUAAUUGAUGGUGACACGGGUGUUCACUUGACACUUCUUUAAGCUGUGCAUAUAGGCCUUGCAUGCUUUUCUGUAUCUGUGCUGUAUUUCACAAUGAAAGGAAAAGGCUAUAUAUACAGCUGGAUGCUAGUAAUAGUUCUGCAUAGAAAAAAAAGAAAUAUUGCAUUCCAACAUGUUGCCAGUGGUUAUCCCUUUUUUUUAUAUAGCACACAUAUUUAUUUCACUAUCCCAAGGGGCUUGUGUUUUGUCCACACUUGUAAUAACCAGAAGAUCAUGAAAAAAAAAAAAAAAGAUAAGGUCCCCAUCUGAAAGGGAAACUAAUGAAGACCAACACAAAAUAAGAUGGUACAAGCCAUCUGUGGAAAUCUGUGCAGAAAACAGCUCCUUUGGAGAGAUUGGUGAUGUGCGUCAUCUACAAAGGAUCAGCUCAAAGCUUGCCGGGGAGCCCAGAGCUGCCUCUCAGAAGUCAGAAGAGUUGUUAUUUGUAGGAAGGAGCAGCUACACGGGGGCUUGUAAGAUAUUCUGAAUAUUCAAUUUCUUAAUCUGGUUGGUGGGUACAUGGGUGUUGGUUUUAUUAUAUGUUUUAUACACUCUUCCGAAUGUGCUGUAGGGAUUUGAAUCAACCAGGAAUCAUUUAAGUAGAAAAUACAGUGCUACUUCAAAGGAACAACUCAAGUUCAUGUAAAAUCACCAUUAUUUAGAAUACAAAAGUCACUUUGGGAUUUUGAUCUCAUUUUCUUUUCUGCUGCCAGCCCCAGCCAGCUCUUUCUAGAGCUGUUCCCUCAGAGGGGAUCAGGGUGGGGUCAAGACGGCAGGGACCCAGCUCAGCACACUCCUCAUGGGAUUUAGGGUUGGCCUGCCUUCCUCCCCUGGGUUUUGUCCACAGAGAGGCGCACAAGUAGGUAUUCUGACGGCACCCGAACCCAGUUUCCUGCUGCUCCUCUUUCUCACGGGACCUCUCCGGUCCCCGCCCCUUCCGUACCUUAUGGAGUGGGGCACCACUCUCUACUUCCCUUGAAGGUCUCAUCUUGUCUUCUUCUGACCCAUCUGUCUGCCUGGGGCUGAGUGGUCUCCCUACUGCCCUAGCCCUUCUAACUCAGGAGAAAUGAGAGAUCACCUCCUCAAGCCAUCACCCUCUGCAGAGGAAGGAGAGGUCCAUGGUUUUCACAAGAAGGCCAAGCAAUGGGAGGCCGCCUUCCCUGGUCUGAAUGCCAGGAAAGGAGACUCAAAAGAAGCUGGAGUGCGCAGCUUCAGGGUGGGCCUGGAAGACACACGCCUGCACAAAAAGCAAUGACAUGAAGGAGAGAAGAGGGCCCCACACACAGCUGACCUUUUGGGAUCCCUCUGUGAACCUCACUGACAGUAAGUAAAAAGGGCACCCACACUCCUGGGACCAGUGGGACUGUGCUGAGGAAGCCCUGCUCUGCAUACUGUUGAGAGCCACUGCCCCCGCCAGGGCACACAGGGCCGUGCCCCUGGGCAUGGCUUGCAGCCUUGGUGCCUGGCUCUGGGUGGACCUCUGCCUGGGCCUCUGAAGAGUGCAUGUUAGAAGAGGAGACAAAGAGUUCAGGAGGCCAAGGCAACACUGUGGUGGAGCAUCAGUAUGCGGUCCCCUCCACUGCUUUGACAGUGACAGCAGGGCAAUCCCAGGCAGCUGGCCAUUGGAAUGCAGUCUCCUUAAUCAUGACCAGGAACUAGGAGGACUCCUUGCGGGGCCAGCAAGGCCUCCGUCAUGCAUGUCUGGAGGAAGCUGGACCCUCAGAAAAGCUCCAUCUGAGCUGCCCAGGGACUCUGGGAAGAGCCUUGCCAGCCAUAGCUACUGAAGGAAGGAUGUGGUGGUCUUGCUGAUGGCUGUUCAGAACUCUUGCCAUGGGGAGUGUAAUUCGGAGCCUCCAGAAGCUGUCCCCUUGAUUUGUCACUGCAUUUGGCCUGGACCCCACUCCAACCAAUGAACUGACUAUGG